CUGAUUAUAACACAAUAGUUGUGUGGUCAACUAAGAGUUGAAAGGAAUACGUCGGAUGGCAUAAUCAGAUUUAUUUGGAACUAAACGACCUGCUUAACUGGAACCUAAACAAAGUUCAAAAGUUUCUAAAAAAUUUAAAAAAAGAGCUUCACACACUCACUGAAUGUGUUUCAGUUUUAAUAAAUUUCAUCAUGUCGCUAGUUUAUGGAUCUUCUGACAAAGAAAAUGGUGCAAUCGAUCAAAUACUGGAUAGC